rnacentral:rRNA from 1 species
CCCUUAGAUGUUCUGGGCUGCACGCGCGCUACACUGUCGGAUUCAGCGAGUCAUAUCCUUAACCGAAAGGUUUGGGUAAUCUUUUGAAAGUCCGACGUGAUGGGGAUUGAUCAUUGCAAUUAUUGAUCAUGAACGAGGAAUUCCUAGUAAGCGCGAGUCACCAGCUCGCGUUGAUUACGUCCCUGCCCUUUGUACACACCGCCCGUCGCUACUACCGAUUGAAUGGUUUAGUGAGAUCUUCGGAUUGGCGCCUACGCGGCUUCUCUGAGGCCACGCUGGAUGCCGAAAAGUUGCUCAAACUGUAUCAUUUAGAGGAAGUAAAAGUCGUAACA